UGCUGACAUAAGUAACGAUAAAGCGGGUGAAAAGCCCGCUCGCCGGAAGACCAAGGGUUCCUGUCCAACGUUAAUCGGGGCAGGGUGAGUCGACCCCUAAGGCGAGGCCGAAAGGCGUAGUCGAUGGGAAACGGGUUAAUAUUCCCGUACUUGGUGUUACUGCGAAGGGGGGACGGAGAAGGCUAUGUUGGCCGGGCGACGGUUGUCCCGGUUUAAGCGUGUAGGUGUGUGUUCCAGGUAAAUCCGGUUCACUUUAACACUGAGGCGUGACGACGAGGCACUACGGUGCUGAAGCAACAAAUGCCCUGCUUCCAGGAAAAGCCUCUAAGCAUCAGGUAACAC
rnacentral:rRNA from 2 species